CUUAAAAGUAGUUCCAAUUAGACGGAGAGAUAUAAUUUCUGAGGUGUAUACUCUGUGGUAUAUAUUGACUAUAGUGUAUGGUGGUCACGUGAUCGCGUGCUGACGAUGGAGCUUCGACGCCAUUUUUCAACCGGGAAGAUUUAGCCUACGUCGUUAUUACCAACAUGCCGGAGAGUUGUUGUUGUUUUGGGUGUUUCAAUGUCAGGCAAAAAGGGAGUGGAUUAUCAUUCCACAAAUUCCCACUUAAAAAUCCGGAACUUGUUAAAAAAUGGUUAAUUAGAAUAAGUCGGGAAAACUUCAGUCCCAGUCAACAUCACGUUGUGUGUAGUGAUCAUUUUGUUAAGGGCGAUUAUAUCAGAGGGAUUCACCCAUCGGAAGACCCGACAUCCAAGCACGAUCUUUUGCAUCAAGCUGUUCCCACAGUUUUUCCGGCACACCCAAUUUAUAAACAGGCUAUUUCACAGAAAAGGCGCGCCCCACCCAAAUUAAGAAUAAGUGAAAAAGAAGAAAACCUAAUACCAGUUAAGAAAUCAUGCCCUGGUAUACCAGACCAUGCUUACGUAAACGUACCAACGCCAGAAGUUCUCCGAGACCAACUUAAAAAGACGCAAGAAAAACUAGAAAAUAAAAGAAAAGAACUAAAAGCUGUGAAACAAAAAGUUAAACGCCAAGAAAUUAAAAUCAGCAAAUUGUUGAAUGAAGCUAAAGAACAGAAUUUAAUAACGAAGAAUGAAACUGACUUACUUCAAGUGAAUUUUGGUGAAAAGACUUUUCAGUUGAUUGAGAAUUAAGUGAAGCAAAAAGAUGUGAAUAAAUAUGGUCAAAGAUUUUUUAAUCGAUGCAUUUGGCUAUUGCACAAAUAUUAUUACGAUUAUCUAUUUUUUUGUAAAAUUUACUAUACCGCCAUAUUUUUAAAUCCGAGAAAAAUCUAAAUUUAGAAACCAUAAAUAAUUAACAUAUCAUGGAAAUUGAAAACCAUAU